rnacentral:rRNA from 1 species
UAAUACAGAGGGUGCGAGCGUUGUCCGGAAUCACUGGGCGUAAAGGGCGCGUAGGUGGCCACCAUAAGGCCGCGGUGAAAGUCUGGGGCUCAACCCCAGAUCGGCCGCGGCGACUGUGGGGCUAGGGCACCGUAGAGGCAGAUGGAAUUCCGGGUGUAGCGGUGGAAUGCGUAGAGAUCCGGAAGAACACCAGUGGCGAAGGCGGUCUGCUGGGCGGUGGGCUCGCAAGAGCCCAAUAGCCGACACUGAGGCGCGACAGCGUGGGGAGCAAACAGGAUUAGAUACCCUGGUAGUCCACGCCGUAAACGAUGGGCACUAGGUGCUUUGGGGAGCGACCCUCAGGGUACCGGCGCUAACGCAUGAAGUGCCCCGCCUGGGGAGUACGGCCGCAAGGCUG